CACGUAGGGACCAAGCGUUGUCCGGAUUUAUUGGGCGUAAAGAGCUCGUAGGCGGCUUGUUGCGUCGACUGUGAAAACCCGCGGCUCAACCGUGUGGUCUGCAGUCGAUACGGGCAGGCUAGAGUUCGGUAGAGGGCGGCGGAAUUCCGGGUGUAGCGGUGAAAUGCGUAGAUAUGCGGAGGAACACCGAUGGCGAAGGCAAUCCCCUGGGCCUGCACUGACGCUCAUGCACGAAAGCGUGGGGAGCAAACAGG
rnacentral:rRNA from 1 species